rnacentral:lncRNA from 1 species
CAUCAAGUCCUUUUUGCAUCUUUUCUCUGAAUUUUACAUACUUCGAUCAAUAUGUUCGCAAAAUUCUCUGCUCACUAUUCGCAAUGGAAUGAUUCCAACGACCUCUUGAGGCACCCGAGCAUUUAUUAAAAACAUUAAGGAUUUGUAUGCAAACAUGCUAGUUAUCGGUCAAUUCAAACAGAUUCGAACAAUGCAAACCAUUAAGUAUUCUAUCUCCCAAUAAUCCCAAUCAUCUUCUGUACUUAAACAAUUCUCCCUUGACAGCGCGCCAGCGGUGAAGUGAAGUUACUGCAGGCUAUUGUGACAUUUCAUGAAGUAUUCAGACCGAAAAAACCUCCAAGAAAAGGAAAUCUAGCAAAUUUUUUUCCGUGUCUUUUAUGUAUCUAGUCUCUUAGUUCCUUUUUAUGACUGCACCGAAAGUAAAAACCUGCCUUGGCCUCUUUAUUUUCAGGCACCAGGGCUAGGUGAUCCAGUUUCUACCAGUAGUAAUCCACUUAGACCAAUAACUCUAGUAAUUUAGAUGGUACUUUCACGAUGCCAAAUAAUCUGAAACUUCCCUCUCCACCCAGAAGUAUGAAAAAGAAGCCCAUGAACAACUGGAAGCAGAGAGUAGGCUUAGCCUCCAGCAGAAAGACACCUCUAAGGGACAUGCUUCAACCGAAUGUGAAAUACGGCUUGAACAAGGAAAAUAAACCUCUACCCAGUGCUAAAAUGCUGCCGCCCAGCAGGACACCUCGUGGCGCCAACUUUAAAUCAGUUACAGCCCAUCUCCCGACACCAGGUAAAACUGGUAAGUACCAAUUUCAGCUUUAUUGAUUUACGUUGUGAUUUCUUGUGGCUUUCAAUGGUGAAUGGCUUUUGCUUCUAAACCUUUUCGUUUUCUGUCCAUUGUAUUUUUAAAAAAAUGUCUGCUUAUUGGCGACUGAAUAUUCAUCGCUAUUGUUUUGAUUCUGCUUGUUUUUUUCCUUUCAUCGCAAUGAAACUUACAGAGGGAAGUCCCAAAGUUGCCACAGGAGUAGUUUUGGGUCCUCUCUAACUGUCCCUAUGUAAAAUAUCUCUGUGUAAAUAUACAGUGAAAAUAUAGGUGUUUGCAAUGGAGUCAAGAAAAUAGGGUUUCCAGGGUCUAGUUUAACAUUGAUGUAUCACCUAUUUUUUUAUCGAAAUUAGACCGACUCUAUUGGAACCAGUUUAAUUACAUUUCAUGUCGUGUAAGGUCUCCUUAAGUUUUAUUUUUUUUUAUCAAGAACCACCAACAUAUUGCUUUAACUCUGUAUGAAUUUUUUCUAGAUUAUAUAUAUAUUCUCGAAAGUAAAAAAAAAAGAGAGAGAAUAUAUUCUCAAAAUUUCAAAUCAGAAUGUUGAUUAGCUUUCUGUUGAAAAAAUAAAGCAUAAGAAGAACUUAGGCAACUUUUGAUGCAGUUGGGUUGAUUCCAGUUAAUUCCGCCCAAUUAUGACUUGAAAUUUUAACGCAACAUUCUUGAGAAUUUUAAAAAGCAAUGAGCGUCAAAAACAGAAAAUCAAUACUUUUGACUGAAGCCACAAAUUUCCACUACCUACCUGAACAAUUUGAGCUUAUACCCACCUGAAGACCCAUUUUUGCGACUCAGUCACAUUUUUUUAAUUUAGGGUAGUCUCUUCCAUAGCACUUUGCAUGUUUUAUCCAAUUUAUUGUUGACAGGUGUGUUUUAAAUCAUGAGGCUAAACACAUUAGUAAAAAAAAAUUUAAUUCGAUCUUAAAAUUUACUCUUAUGUAUGUGGUAAUCUUGAUUGACUCAAUCACAGUGCUCCAGAAGUACAUGUUUCUUAAUUCGGACUCUUAAGUAACUCAGCAAUUAUUGUAUUCAUGUGAUUAUGGGUGAUAUUUUAGGGUUCCCUUGAGGUACUGCAACUGAGCAAAGAGUGCGAAUAUCCCAAAUCAUUUUUGACUUUAUUAUUCUCUUUUGAAUUUAAGUCUUUGUUUUGGAAAAUUUUUUGAGAGAAGGGUUUUUUUAGGGAUUUUAUUCGCUAAAUUUUGAGUUGUAAUGCCUCAAAUAUGGGUCUUAAUUCAAGCAUGGUUCUAAUCCAG